CUGCCCUGCUGUGUGUGCACAGCUCCACGCUCUGCCUCACCAGUGCUCCUUGUCAUCAUGGACUACGAAGCCCUGUGCUCCAUGGCUGUCCCCGCUCCUGUGCCUCGUGUCCCUGCUGAAGUGUACCUCUUUCUCCUUCCUUCUCAGGUUGCGAGGUUGCUCAUCUCACACGGGGAGCACCACAGGGAGGAAGAGGGCUCAGCAUGUGACCGGACUUCGCAGCCAACUCUGCACCACAAGGGACACGGCCUUGGGUUUCGUGGUGAAGAUGAGAGGUCAAACCAGGCUUCCUGAGACUUGCAGGAAGAGAGGUGCAAAUGACUGUUCAGGGGCAGACUGAGGGGACCUGCUAAUGCUAAGUCAGGCGCCUUGGCAAGACUCAGUUAACUUCUGAAGAGGAAGAAAAGGACAAAGAGCCUACGCUUGCCCUUAGCAGAGCCUGGCACAGCACUGGGGGGAAUUUUUCUCCCUGUGAGCAGCACACCUCUGCUGCCAUUGCAUGGCGGACGUUCCUGGAGCAGGAUUUAAAAGCAGUCUCUGCUACAGCUCCUUGCCCAGAGACGUGCUAGACUCUUGCUGAUUUCUUCUGCCAUAUGGGACGUGCCUGGUACCGCUUCCUCCUGGCUGCUGGUUUCUCAGUGGAACAGACAGCAAACAGCAAGCAAGAGGAGCAGAACCCAGGACGAGGAGUUUCUGUAGGACCUACCAGAAGCUGGCUGGCAGUUUAGGCUGGCAGUCCUCUCUCUGAAGGCCUCUCCUUGCAUUUAUUGUAAAGGAAAGUGAAUGCACGAGCGUACUGGUGUGAGGAGAAGCAGAGCAGCAGCGCGUGGGCACAGCUGUGAUCUCGGAUAGGCAGCGCUUGUGCGAGUGCAGGUGCCCUGUUUGAUGGAAGCAGCUGCACACGUGUGACUGAACUACCCCUGCUGCUGUCAGGCCAAAGAGAACCUCGGUGAGCAUGGACAAGAGCAGCUCCCAGAGUGGUGGAGGACCCCAGGUGGGAUCUCCCUCUUCACCUGUGCCUGUCCCUGUGCGUGAGCCCUUGGGUCUUCCAGCAGCAUCAGGGGACACCACUAGAAACUGCACCAGCCCCUUGAGCUUCCUACAAGCAAACAACUGGGAGAAGGAGCGGCACCAUUCUGGCUGAAGCACAUGGGCUUGAGAAGUUUGGGUACCUGCAGAUCUGCACCUAGCUCCUGAUGCAAGUGGGGAUUGAGCCAUGGGACAGCGAGGCCCCUCCAGGUACAGGGCAUUUUGCUCCUCAUCCAGCGGUGUGGCUGGAGCCACGACACAGGGAGGUGCUCCAGGGCGGGCAGGUGCUUCUGUAGGACCACCAAAGAGUUGUGAGUCCCUCACCAAAGUCAGCGUGGUUGUUCCUCGCAGACCUGCAUUUUCCUUUGUGGCUCCUGGCUGUAGAUGUUUGCUGGUGGUCAUGGCUUGAUGUGCUGCUGAAAGCUGGCUGCCUCGCACUAGCAUGCUUACACUCGCCCGUAACCAGUUUGGGUUUCCUGACAGCGUUUUGCCUCUCCGCCAAAGAGUAUUUAAAACUCAUGAGGGCCUCUGGUCGAAGGCUUCUGGAAACUUUGCAUGAUUUCUGGCAAGCGUUUUGCCUUCUGCUGUUGCUGUCACGAUGACAGAGCUCCUGUGGACAACAGAGGCGUGCUUGUCCUUCUGACACAGGGUGGUCCUCAGUAAUGGGAGCAAGGUUUGUGGCUCCGUGGUGUGCCGGAGCUGAGAUUGCCCAUGUGUGCCCCAGGUAGUUUAACCUGGGAGCUGGGGAAGGGCUCGCUGUUCUGUAGUUCCCAAAUCCUCGCAGGAUGUUUUAAAAGGGAGCUGCAGCACUUGCUGCUCAGCGAUCAACGCUGGGGGGAAAAGCAGCCAUGAUUCCCUGCGAGCUUCUCCAGCACGGCGAGUUACCUCCUGCUCUUCUUAACUCCUCCAUGGGACACCAGCACUGGUUUUGGUCUCCCAGAGGUUCAUCUCUAGUCCUUUCAGCAGAUAUCUACCUAACACCCUCUCUACUGAAAUGGGAUGCGACGCAACCACCUGCUCUGGCACGGACCUAGUGCUGGUGCCCAUCCAGCCUGUGUGCACCGAAACCAUCAAGAGCUGGGCUCAGAUAUCUCUGCGAGGAGCUGCACACCCACGGCAAAGCCACACAGGCCACAAACAGCAAAGCUGCGAGGCCGGGUGGUUAACGUCAGUGCUGACACCGUGCUCGUGGUUGCUCCAGGCUGUGUGCCCAGCAGUGCCCACCACCAGCAGCUCUACCUGAGAGCUCAUCCGAGCAUCCCCAGUGCUCACCCGAGCUGUGACCUUCUGUGCCAUCUGCCACCGACAGUGUGAAGAAAAGCCCUUGGAGUAUUUGAAGGCGUGUUUGCAUCGUACAUCCCCUUCCCUCUUCCGUUCUUUUUCCCAGACCUCCAGCCAGCCUCGUCUCUCUCCUCCAGGCUUGCUCCAGUUGUGCUUCACCUCAUUUGAGGAGCAGUGCCUUUUUUUUUAACUAGUUCAAACUGCCUUUUCCUGUGGCCCAGUGGGACCUGCGCUGCUCCCAUCCUGCUCACUGCGUCCUGGUCAGCCCUUGUGCUCUGCAGCUGUUGGAUGGCCAAGGGAAGAAACUUUACGUCUCUCUUGGAGAGCAUCCUGGCUUUUGGUGAUGACGUCUUCACUCUGCUCCCUGUCCUGCCUUACUCUAGGAACACGUGUGCUGAUCUAUGUGUAUGUGGCAUCACGCCCAUAUUGUCCUCUGCGAUGCACUAAGGAGCCCGGUAGCAGUACCAAGGGCCUAAAAAAUUGUAGUAGGACUGAAGGUUUCAGAUAAGCUUUAUGUAGCUCCUCCACACUAGGACCUUCCUCUUUCAGUGUCUCUUAGGGUUUUUUCAUCUUCAGUUGCCUAACAAUGAUGGCAAGAGCUGGAUUUCUUUCUUUCCUGCUGCAGCUCCAGCAAAGCAAAUCUAACUAAACUAAAAACACUUGUUUGGGCUAAACUGCAAAUGUUUUCUUAGAACAUCUUUGGUGUGAAUUUGCAAACAAGAUUUCCCAGGUCCAGCUGUGUUCUGGUUCAGCUGGUAUAUUUGAUCUAUGGAAAAAAUAUUAAAGCAUUUACUUACUGUAGGCAAACAAAACUCUCUUUAGAGGACCUGAAAUGCAAUCUGUCAUUUUCAUUUCAAAUCAUUUGAUAUGUCUCUAUAAUUUUAACCAUAAAAUGGAAAGUGUAACUGGCUAGUCACUGUUCCUUUUUAAAGCAUUCAAAUGAAACAUUGCAUUUUUUUAUUUUCCUUCUAACUUUUCCCGUUUGUUGGCUCAUUUGGAAGUCGGCAAUUCCCUGAGAUGAAGUUGCACAAAGUUGGCUGUUGCUGAAUUUGCAUUUUUCCCAGAAGAGAGGCAGAGAUAGAGGGGAAAACGUCACUGUGCUGCAUUGCCAGGUACUGCGUCCCCCGUGGGCCUGCCCGUCCUCACCUCCUCCACCCACCGGUGGCCUCGGUGGCGAUCCCCCCCCAUCCCCGCUCGGACGCAGGAUUGCAGCUCCGGCUCCUCUUCCCUGCGCAUCAUCAACAUGUUGUUUCCAGGGUCAUAAAUUUGCACGGUGAUGAGACACAACCAGAUGUUAGGAUACGUGAAGCGACUGGCGAAGCAGCCUGCUUGGCGCAGCCCCCGCCGCUGGAGUCCGCCGCCCGCUAAUGAGAAGCAGGUCUCGCGCCUCGAGCUGGGCCAGGACAGACGGAGAGCAUCCCCAGGAGCUGCCACCUCGACCCCCGGCCUGCUCUCGGUGCCCGGGGAGCACCUCGGGGCUCUUUGGUGGCUCUUGGCUUCUGGCAGCCAUCUGGAAAGCUGCUUUGGCCUGGCGCAGGGAGGGACGCGCGAGGCCGUGGUCCUCCUUGCUAGCAAGGAAGCCGGUUACGAUGCUGUGUGGUGCUCUGUCGUGUAAAAAUGCUUCUGAGACACGGGUUUUGGAUGGUCCGUGUGGCUGAACAGGUUGGGUUUUAAUGGAGAGACCCAUGGGGAGGUCAUAGCUCAGGAUGCUGGUCCUGUAUCCGCUACUGGGAACCUGUGUUGGCAUGAAAUACUCGUUUCCACAUGGCUCCAGCCCCCGUGUCCUGAGGUACCCAUGUCCCCAUGGGUGGGCAGGGGCUGGGGAGGGUGGCACUGCAAGGGAAUGUGCGGUGGUCCUCAGGACAGCCGCAGCUUUUGGCCAGCAUGUAGCAGAUGCUACCCCUGUGAUCCAGGCCCUCAUGGUGUUUUGGGGUAUGCACUAAACAUCUGGGGACGCACACCCUGAUGACAGUCCCUGGGCACAGCCAUCCUGUGAGUGCUUUCUCAUCAUGGUCUCUUUCUUCCACCACUGUCUUGGAAGUCCCUGGGGGUCCCUGCUGCCCCAGGGGCGAGGCUGAGCCCUGUGUGGGGCUGGCAUGGCUCGGUUGUGGCAUCAGGGCAGGCCUUGCAUCACGGGCUGAUUUUAAGUCGAUUAAGGUAAUCCCAUGUGGAGAUCUGGCCUCAGUGCCACUUCUCUGUCCCAUUGUCCUUCCCUGGACCACGCAGGCGGUGGUGGUACCUCCUCCUACACCUCCAUGCACGCUCCCAUCGUCUGGGGACGGGCAAGUGCAUAGGUGUGUGCAUGUGGGAGAGGAGACCCAUCUGAAGGGGUGUGCUGGUACCAGACCUAAGGGCUAUGUGCUGGCCAGGGUGUCCUGGGGAGCACUCCUUGCUCGGAGGCCCAGGAGCAGCCUCCAACAUGGCAAAGAAGGAGACAGAGCUUGGGGUGUCCUUGGAGGGGACAAAACAGUGCAGGGCCCAUGGCCAUGAGCAUCCCUUCGAGCUGUGGUUCAAUCCCGUUGGGAUUUGGGGGACACGUCCCCCCCCAGUGACACAAGAGGGAGGGCGAACACUUGUGGCUCUGCUCUCAGCAUCCCAUUCGCCCGGUGCUGAGCCCCCGAAGGGCUUCACCGCCCUCCAGGAGAGCCUCCAUCCUCCUCCUUGCUGCAAAGCCAGGAGAAACGAGGCCGUCACCUCGCCGCCCCGAGCGUGUAAAGGGAAGGAGGGGACGGGGCCUUACAGGGGGUGAGGGGACCUCGGCCUCCCCGCCGAGCCUCCGCUCCUUUGUGCGGCGCAGGUUGGAGGGAGUUUGGGUUAAAAGGGGUUAACAGCUCUCUGCUGUAACACAUGAUUGGUCUUUAUGAGGUUGAAACUCUUGUCUGUUUGAGGCCUACAGAUGAUGCUAAAGAGCACAAUAAUGACAGCAAUUCAAAGCAAUCUAAUUAUGCAAACGGGAGGCUAAACAAUUUCAUCAUCCUUAAAUUAGAUUGUCCUAAUGAGAUAAAGACACCAAUUAAUCCUGAAUUAAUUUCAAUAGCCUAUUUCAGGCAAACACUUUAAUAUGCAAAUGUAAAUGAGAAACAAAGCCUACUGUAGAAUGCCAGAGUUCAGAACCUCUCUCUGCACAGCUGCAGCGGGUGUAAAUAGUGUCUAAUGAGUUUGCAUGGAAAGACACAACCGGUUGAAAAUUGGAGCCUCCGUACAGCACAGCCGGUGCCUCAGGUACGUGGCGGUGCCGAGGCGGCAGGGGGACGGCCGGGCUGGCACCGGGGAGCCGCCGCGCACGGGGCACGGGACGGGAGCCGCCGCGGGACACGGGGCUUUAAUGAGAUGCUGGAGCCGAGUACCUGGCCGGUCGCCUUUCUAGGACACGGAGAUGGUUUUAAUUAGCUGGUGGAUAAUUGGUUUAAAUUAGCCGCUUUGCUCCGCGCUCGCAAAGGUCCGCUCCCAGUUUUUCUCCCAGGCACUUGGCAGGGGAAAGGGCGAAGCCUGGGAUGUAGGCUACGGGGAAGGCGGAUGCCCUCCCUAGUGUCUCCCACCUUGCUCCCUGUCCGUAGCAAAGCACCACCAACGUCUCCUUUGAGUCCUCCUGGAAGCAAGCACCUGCCCCGAGGGCCUGAUCCUGAACUCAAACUUGUGCUUCCCUGUGAGUAGGAGCACAUGCUGUGGGUGCUGUGCAGAGGGCCACAAAGGCAGCUGUGGCACUGAUGGUCACGUUGGGUUAUUCCUCUGGCUGUGUCCCUUCUCCAGCAGGUCCCAGGAACAUGCCUUGGAGGAAGUGUUAAAAUAGCCCAAAAAAACUAUUCUGUCCUAGAAUGAGCACCUUUUGGGUAAUCUAUGCCUUUCCCCUUCCAGGGCUGCUGUUGGAGGCUAGCAUGAACAGAAAGGCUUUGUGUCCUUCCAGAAAAUACAUGACAACCCUGGACAUUCUUCCCCUUAAAAAUAUCCAUUCUCUGUUUGGAUUGUGCCAGGGUUUAUCUCCAGCAUCACCCCGUGGCAGCACGUGCUGCAGGCUCAGGAGGUGCGGUCCCUCUUGCCCUCCCACCAGCACCAUUCGUUGACCUCCACCGAGUGAACAUCUCACAUCUUCCCUGUGUGCUGGAGGGAAUUUGCUCUUUGUUUUGGCACCGUGUGGUCAUCUCACCGGGACCUUUCAUGGAGCAGGAAGGUUUGUGAAUUUCCAGCCCAGAGCGAGGUCCUGCCUUGCUCACAUCCCCUCCUGCACGGACUUUAGGACCAAAUAAUGUCCCUGCGGUUUAUUGUCCCUUCCUGCUUAGCUUUGGAGGGCUUUGUGAGUGGUGAUUGGGAAUUUCGGCACUUCUAGUGGGAAAUCUUGGGUAAGCAUCGCCUGUGCAGCGCGGGAUUUCAUCUGUGCUGGGUAGACAGCAAACAUCCCUUCCCAUUUCUGCGGCCUGAAUGGGCACGGGGUUUAUUGACGGAUGAGUGGAGGCAGCGAAAGGGCUGACGGCCCGGAGCUUGCGGCGUGCCAGCAGACCUGGAGAUCUAUCACACAUGUUUGUCCUUGGAAAAAAGACAAUUGACUCAGUAAAUUGCUUCAUCUCUGGCACUCGGGGUACCAGCACCGCCUUUUCCUCUGGAGCCUGGGAGAUUUUUUCCAAAGCCUUUGGUGCUGCCUGGGCUCUGUUCUCCGUGCCGUCGGCAGUGCGAGCUCUGGCUCAGCGGGCGCUGCCGCGCCACGGACAGAGACGUGGGUGAGAGCUCGCUGCUCCCAAACCAGAGCAGGGCCAUCCUACUGAUGUCUAACCGGUGCUUCGGGGCAGAGGCGUGCCCAGGAGCUCGUGGAGAUGAUGCUUAGAGAGCCAGGGGUUACCGUGCCCCGGCGUGGGGAUGGGCCGGGGGACCCAGGGGGGUGCUGUUAGCAGCCGCAAGCUGCAUCCAAAAGAGGAUGACAGAUCGCUGCCUCCGGCUGUGGUUUCCCGUUAAUUAAUACCAGGUCUGCGCAUUACCCGCUCACCCCACGGGAUGAGUUGGGUCUGAAGCGGGGGCGAGCAGCACCGGAUCGCGCCGUUGCCAAAUCACCCGGCUCGUGCAAUAUGGUGCGCAUCUGGCCGCCCGCCAGCGGCGGGAGCACAAAGCAAUGCCUGAUUCAGCAAAAAGCCUCCCCGGCCCCUUCGGAGAUCUCGUGAAGCAGCAGAAAGAGUUUCUCUCUCCUCGCCGUUGCUCUCAGGCCGGGACUGGGCGCCGUCAAAUCAAAUUAACCAUCUCGGGGAGGCACGGCCACGGCCUCUCGUGUCAGCUUAAAGCCGUGGAUGGGUCCAGAGUCCUCCUGACUCGCCGUCCGGGCACGGGCUUCGUUGCCUGGAUCCAUCUGCUGCCGAAGCCCAGCGGUCCCCAGAGGAGCCAAGCGUGCUCCUGAGCCCCGAAACAGGGAUGCUCGCUCAUGCGUUGGCGAAAGGUCUCUAACAGUCAGCCAGGGGACUUGUAAAAAUGCUACCACGGGGCCUCCUGUUUAUUCUUGCGCUCCCUGCGCUCUGCUCACACAUUAAAAGGUGGUACUUUUUUAGCUCCCAGUGCCGCUGCCUGGCGAAUCCAGCUGGUUUUCCUUCCCCCUCUGAAAUCACGACGUCUGCAGCCAGAUGUGCCCUCACCCCACUGGCGUGGGGGGAAUCCGGGGUGGUUGGGGAAAUAAAACCGCGCGGCACCGGCAGCGGGUCGGUUACUGAUGAGCCGUCCAAGGCGCAGCGGAGAAUCUGCAUAAAAUAUUCCUCGUGGAGCUCGGGUAGCUGGUUCCAGCCCAGAUAACAGGCUGACAGGCGCCGAGGAAGGAUGCCUUUAACCUUCACAAAAGUGAGAGGACAGGAGAGAAAUGAGCCAGGCAGCGGUGUCACGAAAAUCACAGCCUCAGCGAUUUGGAUGCGUUUCGCUCUGCUGCAGAGUUUUGUGCGGCGGAGGGAAAAUAAACAAAAUGUUGGGAGGAAGCUGGCGGGCCAGGGGCAUGGUUCUGCCGGGGCUGUAAACGUCCCUGGCCCCCGUUGUGGAGAGCUUUGCUCCUGGUGGGCUUGGAGAGCUGUAGAUGGCAUUGCUGUGGGAUGCCCCAUGGUGCACAGAUGGGAUUAGCAGGAGACCAUGCAGCAGAGGUUGAGCACCUUCUUCAGGUGCCGCUGCUCACUGGUGUGAGAUUUAAAUUUGUGAGGACAACCAUUUCUAUCAUGAAAAGCAUCUCUGGAGGCACAGGGGGGUCCAUGCAUUGGGUAGUGUGCUUAUGGUUCAACUUGUGGCUGGUGACACCUGCCCAGCCUGCUCCGGAUAUGUCCCCAUGGGAAGAAGAGGUGACAAUUCACCUGGUGCAAAGAGGCUGGAAGGGACUGGGAGCACAGUGGCACAUCUCAGCCCGUCCUCUGCCCCACGAGCUGCUGUGCAGCUCCCCAGCCUGAACGCUGAAUGAUUUGGAGAAAUAAAGCAAUAUUUUCAGCUCCGGUUUUCAGUGGGGCUUUUCCUGCAGAGCCUGGAGGGACGGCAUCUGGAUGUCCCUGGCCAAGGGGCUCCCCACCAGCACCAGGCAGCACUUCAGGGACAUCUUGUGACACUCGGCGAGACCAAAAAAAAAGGAGAGGAGGGGAUCGGCUCUUCAUCUGGGAUGGAAAUCGAGCUGGUGAAAGGACGGAUGUUUUCUCUUUUGCCUUGAGGUUAGAAAACAGCAGGAAAUCCUUGCUUGAAGAAAAGGCACACGGCCACCAGUGUGACUCGUGCAGUCUCUGCCUCCUUGAAGUCAGCCUGGAAACAGAGUUUUGUGGUGGGUAGAAUUUCACAGACUUUCCAUGGUUGCUGGCUGCAGCCUUUCUUGUGCCUUGUUUGCAGCUAGCGCUGCAUUUUUGCCAUAUUUCUGCUAGCCUGGGGGGCUGCAUUCCUGCAAUGGGUAUCACGUAGCCGGGUGAAGCAAACACUGCCUUGUCUCAUGGAUGCAGCUUUCCAUGGGACGAGACUGCCUGUGCGGGUGGCUUGGGGAACGUACCCACAUGGGGAAGGCUUGGCUUCGGCCUCAGCUUUUGUCCCAGCACCCGACCCCACAAUGUCUUUGCAAAGCGAGCGCACCCCGCGCCAAGGACCCCGCAGAACUAACUUUGCUUUUCUUGUUUAUUAAUAAGCAUCUUUGUCGAGUAACCAAGAUGUAUUGAGCUGGGACUCCCCGAGUGCGAGCAGCCAGAGAUAGCUUUGACUUUUCCUUUUUUUAAUUUACCUUCUGGGGCUGUGGGAAAUGAGCAAUCCUUCUGGCUGUCAAUAUUGCCAGCGGCGCCGCUGCGCCAGGACCGGCGUCAGCCUCACGCCGACCCGGAGCUGGCACCGCCGGCGCGAUGGGGACGGAGCCGGCGGGGCUCUUGCACCUCCCAGAAAAGGGCUUUUGCAUCAGCUCUCCCCCCUUCCCACCUUGCCCAUGCAGAUGUUUUCUUCUAUUUCUUCUGCCCCAGCCCUUCUCUCUCCUUCCCCUUCCUUUGAUGUGGGCUCAGCUACUUUGCAGGGUCUUCUUUGCAUCUUGCAAAGGAAACCCCUGCUUUUGCAGCAAAGCAACACCCACAAAAUGCUCCCGGGGCUGGGGGGCACCUGCUCUGCCCACCUCCUCUCCCACCACCCAUCAUUUUCCCUCUCAAAAACAGCCAGGGCUCUCAUGGUGGUUUUUGGGGUCACCUCACCCCAAUCAGAGGUGUUUUCUCCUAUGCUUUCAGGGCAGGGGAGAAGCAACCUGGGCUUCCAGGUGACCAGGGAGGGUAGGGCAUCAUCUGCACCCUAAUUAAGUGCUAAUGAAGUGAUGUGGUGCAGCUGAGUGCAGUGUGGCUGGGAGCAAGGAGACGCAGAGGAGAUAAAAGUGGCUGGAGGGGAGCUUCUGGAGUCCUUUUGGGGGCAGAGGUAGCGACCUGAGGACAGCAGAGCCAUGGGGACGCCUCUCCUGCUUGUGGUCCCAAACUCCGUGUUUAUAGGUCACAGUGGGAUCCGGAGGCGGAACGGAGACUUGAGAGUCACGGGCGCCCGGCUGCUGCCUGCCUGCUCGCUGUUUGCUGCCCUCAGCCUCCAAAGGCGCCUCCUGGAGCAAGGACUUUGCUCGUUGCAUCUCUGUUGAGGUCGUGGGCUUGUCACACGUGAGGGCAGCCACCAGUGUGCCGUGGCCUCUAAGGAGAGCGUGGUUUGUCCAUGGGGUGGCUGUAGCACCCCGGUAUCACCAGGGGUCCGGGACCAAGCCCCAGGCAAGGUGCUGGGGUGGAGAGGGCUGCAGGGUGCCCUGGGGGUGGCAUCUCUGUCCUGUGGGGGUUUUGGAGAUGUGGCCUCGUGUGUGCAGGGGGUGGCCUGAGUGCCCUCUGGAUCUGGGCACGGUGAGCGUGUGUGGAAACACCAACAUGUGUGCGUGCACCAGGCGUGAGCCCCUGUGUAUCGGCACGUCUCGUGCGCAUGUACACGGCCGGGGUGCGAGGCUGUGCCUCCAAAUAACCCUGCCUGUAUGAGGGGUGGUGGGGAAGGGAGGAGCGGAGGAGGGCUGGGAGCAGGUGAAGGAACGGGAGGACAGAGGGAGGGGGAGCGAGGGAGGAAGGAUGGGAGAGAAGUAAACAGGGCUGAAAUUGCAGGUAAAAAUAAAGCCGAAGAAGCCCAGGUGGAAUUCAUGCAAAGUCUCCUCAUCAACACUGCGACUCCCUCCUGUCACGGGAACUGUCAUCCGGGCUCGGCUCGUAAUGAAAGGGAAAAUAUUUUAUUCAGAUUUAUUAAUUUGAAAAUGAAGCCCGCCUGUCGAGAGGGGGACAGUUCUUCUCAAUCUGUCAUCGUUGAACCACACGCUCCUGACACCGGGAUUCAUUUGUCUUGUCGGCUCUGACAGUCGGAUUCUCCCAGAGCUGUUCCUGGUGGAUCGCCCUGGGAUUUUAAACCGGAUGAAACACAUUCCGACAAGGAACAGCCUCUUUAUUAAUGCAAAUUACACGAGGAGGCGAGAGCGCGAGGGAGGGGGAGAGGGAGGGAGGGUGACGCCAGCAGCCGCGCUGGUUCCUCUCCCCGUAUCGCUCGUUUGUUAUUUACAUUUAUACGCCUGUUUUCGGGUUUAAUAAAAGGAGACCGGGCUUUUCGGUGACGUUUAUGGAUGGAUGGUUUAAAAAAAAAAAAGGCACAAUCACCACAAGUGUAUGCAAAAAUACAUACCCAUAAAUAUAUAUAUAUAGUAUGUGAGCCAGCCCAGCUUGUGCUUGUGCGCAGGGAAAGGAUGCUUGGCCCAAGACGAGGAGGUGCCUUCAGUGGCUGGUGCCGUCCCCCCGAGGUCCCCUUAGCUCGUCAGCAUGGCAUAAAACAAAUGCCAGAGUCGGGAGUGUGGGGAGCCGGGAUGUAUGUGUCUAAUGAUGUCUCUGCAGUCUAUAGGAUGAAUAUUUAAUAGCGCUUGUCAGCAAGAUCUUAUAGAGGGAUUUCUUGCCUAAAAUGCUCGUUAGCUCGUGUGAUUUCCUCGGCGUUGGUGUUUAUGGUGGCAUCUGGCUGGUUUGUUGCCGUCCCCUGUGUUUGUCUCCCUAGGGUCCUUGUCCCCAGCCCCUAGGGCACGGACAUCCCUGCCUUAGGGUCACCUUAUGGGUCCUGCGGCACAGCGGGGGGCUCAGACCCUAGCCCCCAAUUCCCACACCCUGCAAAACCUCUUCUGGAGAGACGUUCAGGCUUAGGUUGGAGGCUGCAAGUGAUGGAGAAUCUACCACGUCGUUAGGCAAAUUGUUCUGCUGGUUAAUUAGCUUUGCUGUUAAUAUGCUUGGAGCGAUGAGAGCAGUAAUUCACCUUAGGAAAAGGGAUGUGCGGGGAGGGCUUGGAGAGGUGUGAAGGAACGGGAUGGAAAGUCAGAGAAGGGACUCAGAACAGAUAUUUCUCUGUGAAUCUGUGAUUUGUGAGAGAAGGAGAAAAGAGGAGAACAUUUGGGAAGGACCAAUGUUAUUUUUGAAUUUGGGUUGAGUUUUUGCAAAUACUAUUUUUAUGAUGGAAAGCUAAAGGGUGGAAAUGCCAAAAUGUAUUCUGGUGACAUCUCCAAAACGUACCCUUCAACUUUUCAUCCCCAAAUGGCAAUUUUUUACAUUUAAAAGAAAAAUCUGGAUUGAAUGGAGGGUUUGACCCAGAUUUAUCUUUCUCACCUGGAAUAAAGAACCAGACCUGUGUGUAGUUUGCUCUGAAGGUGCGUGUGUCUCAUCUUUGUUCCACCGAGACCCAGCAUCAGACAGGUGGAGGAGACCAACCUGCCUGCUGGCCAGGCAAGGGGAGGAGACCUGCACCCACCUCGGGGUCUCCUGCUGGUUUUAAAUGGGUGCUAUCAGCUUCAACCUUCCCCAAAGGUUUUCUUAGAGCUGGAUGGCUCUUUUCAGCUUGCCUGCCCCUUGCUUGGGGUCAGGCAGGUGCCCAGCUGAAGAGGAACCCGUAGCAAAGAUGGCAUUAGCUCUUCCAAGCUAAUUUGCUCCUUUUCCAGAUGGGCCCAUACAGCCUAUGAGAGCAGUCCUGGUGUUAACCCUCCAUGUGUGGGUGGCUGUGCAAAGUGAGACCUUGCUAUCAUGGGGGCUCCUCGGGGCCGCCCCUUGGCCAUGCUUGCCAUGACCCCAAGGUCCAGAAACCACCAGGAUGCGCUUGGCGAGGUGCCCCCAGGGCUGCUGGCUUGCAAGGCUGGAGAAAGUCACGGAGGGGCGGUGUUUCUGCCACCAGUAGAGGUGAUGGGGACGUGGUCCUGAGCAUGGGACCGAUGGACAGUCCUGGGAGCACCUUGAGGAGCCACCUGGAGCCACCUCUGGACACUGAUUUCAAGGAGCUUCCCACCUGGUCUGCGGGGACCGUCUGCAAAAUCCCUUCUGUCCUUGAAUUCCUAUUUCCUUGCAGAGCCUGUGGCUAGGGCUCAGCCCUGGCGUAAUAGGCAUCUGCUUGCUGUAAUCUCACUGCCCCUCCCCAAACCUACUUAUAAAAUAAUGCACCUUGCGCCAAUUUUAUCUGUGACAUUGCAUUAAAAAAAAAAAAUCCAUUAAAAGAAAUAAAAGCAGGUGCAGCUCGGUGCUGCAAACACUCCUUCACUCUCAUUCUCUCCCCUUCGUUCCUGCUCUCCUUCACUCCCGGUGUUUGCUAGUUUGUAUGAUUAAUUUUAUCAAUUUUCCUGACCUGCUUUGCCACUGAAAUAAAUAUGACAGCUGCAGUGCUGCCUCAAUUCGUUCUCUUGCCAAGUGAGCUGCUGAGAUGUGUUUUCUUGUUGAUCGCAGACUUUGGUAAAUAUCAAGUAAAUAGACUGAAGAGGAUUCAUUUCAGCAGCUCGGAUUGUCAGGACUUCAGCCCGAGAGCACAUCCUUCAACGGGGAGACAAAGGGAGGAGGAAGGCUCCCGUCCCUCCCCAAAAAAGCAAUCAGGAAAUUCUCAGCGUGUCGGGCUGGUCCGUAAUGAGCAGUGACAGCAGGCGGCUGGGUGGAGACCCCAAAAGUCAUGGGGGGAUGAAGCGAGCCCCGUGGAGCCGUGGUGUGCGUGGGUCAGGGUGGCAGCAGAGCUCGGGGUGCGGUGUGUUGACCUCCUGGUGCUAGACAGCCAGCCCCUAGGGACACCCCUGCGGCAGAGCUGCCUGCAAACCUCUUGCUAGGGAGCUGGUGCCCAAAUGCCUGAAUUUUCAGCUCUGUGUCUUGAUGAAAUUCAGCCGAGAGCGAGCUGAAGGCCUCCCACCCUGCACGGUGUCUCUCCAGGAGAUGAUCUGCUCCGGGGAGGCUGCUGGAGCACAGCUCUGGGAAUUUAACGUGCUAGGAGGGAAAUUCCUGUGUUAGCAUCUCUCCCAUCCAGCCUAUUUGGGUCUUGGCUGCGGUGGCAGAGGUGAAAAGAGGAAUGGGCUGAAAUAUCAUUGCUCGGUGUUGGUCUUUUUGGCUUCUCUAACAGCAGCAUCUCAGUGGUGGUUCUUGUCCAGGGUCCCCUGCUGGGUGCCUUUGGGCACCUCUCAGGCAUGUUUGGGCAUCCCCCUGCUUUCCCCAAAGGAGACAGGAGCUGGCAUCCAGCAGCUGCACCUCCGUUACGCUGUGGCUGUGAUUUUUUUGGGUAAGGGUCCCCUGGGAGUUUUGUGGUCUAAUUGCUGAUAAAUAUUUGCUGGUGCUCCUGCUCCCCCUAAGUGGCCAGCGGCAAUUACCGGGUGCGCAGCCCCACGGCUGAGCCCUCCUCUCGCCGCAGAUCGCAGCCGAGCUGUCUGUGCUCAGGCCUUCAGCUGGCACGUACAGGCAGGUGGAGAGAGGAAAAAAUAGAAGCUUCCAGCCUCUGAAAGCAAGCGGAGGAUUUGUAAACGUGACCCAGAUAAACACGACGCGGGAUGUCUUCCUUGAGUCAGCAGAGAGCCUAAAAUAGUGCCUGGUGCGACCUCCUCCGUCCCGCUGCAUCUGGAGUCUGAACAUGCCACCCGCAGAGGUUGGGUGGCUGCUUGGUAGAGCUGCCCAGUGGAUGGGAACAAGGCGACGUGGUAUUUCCAACAAAUGCUUGGUUCCUCGGUGUGCCUCGAGAUGGUCAGCAGCCUGGCCGUGUUGACUGUUUUUCUAUUUUUUUAACCGAUGAAGCUCACCUUGGUCCAGCAAGGAGCGCACGCAGCAGCCGCCUGUCAUCAAUUCAGAUACCUCCCUCCCCUCAUUUCAAGGACUUGUGAGAGCAAGAGGCUUGUGGCUACGGAGAUUUACACACCCUCGGCAAGGGUUAACCUCAUCUCGCCGCCACUAUUGUCUCAGGACAAGUUGUCAGUCUGUGAGAACGUGCCGUAAUGGAUUUGAAGUGGAUUGCUCAGCCCACGGAGAGGGUGAUGCUGUAUUUAUUGAAUAGACAUUAAAAAGAACAUUUCUCAAUUUCUCAGCACUGAACUCGAGGUCAAUGGAUCUUUUUGGCACUGACAUGCUGAGUCAACUCCUAGCUUAAAGCUUUUAGAAGGACUGGGGUUAGAUGAAAGGAUUAGACGCCGUCUUUAACGUUUCCCUGGCAAAAUUGUUGGCUCCUAAAUCAUUUAUGUUGCUUUGCACUGCUUUGCUUGGCCUCUCCCUUGUUACCUUGGGGGAAGUUACCUUUUUUUUUUUUUUUUUGGAUUAAAAUGACACAAGUUGAUUAUUUCCAUCGUGCUGCCCCAAGUUGAGGUGGGUCCAAAAGCGUGUUGGGCACCUAAUGCCUCUGGAGCACCGAAAACCCCAUGUCUUGGGGGAUUUGGCCCUGCAGGGAAAGGUGGUGCCACGGCUCCCAGCAGAUCCCGAGGGGUAGGAGGCUCGCUGCAGGCUGGCGAGCUCCUUGUGCUUUUUAAUAAUGACUGAGCCAUUGAUUACAGCAGCCCUGGUGGGGUUGUGGUCAGCCAGGAGCUGGUGUCCUGGGGAGCAGCGGCAUGGAUCCAUCCCUGGCUAUUGCUCAGGGCAUCGUUGGGAUUUGUGCCACCGCUCUGAAUGGUGCUGGCCUCCUCGGUGUCACGCUCGUUGCCACCAUUCCCUGCGGUUCCUGGCAAUUUUGUUAAGGUACAUUAGUGUCACGCUGAGAGCGGAGCUGUAGCAUGCUGGACAAGGCUUGGAUGAGCCUGAGGAAAGGCAUUUUGGGGACCACGAGGAGUGGUGAGCGGUGAGAAAAUGCUGCCGUGCUCACGCUGCACGUCCCUGGGGAACUGCAACAUCUCUCCUCCCCGUCCUCAGCCCCUUCUCGCAGCCAGCACCUACCUGCAAAGGGCCCGCGGUGCCAGGGCUUCUGGUAGCGGUGCAACAAAUAAAAUGCAAUCCGCCUGUAUCAUAAAGUCCAAUAAAAAUGAAACUGAACAUCCACUUUGCAGACAGCAAGUACACUGUAAAUUUAUGAGAUCAUAUCUCGUGGAGGACAGGGUAGUUAAGGGGGGAAGGAAGGGGCUGGCAAAAAUGGGCGAGAGCGGCCGAGGGGUAGUAAAUAUGUUUUCAAUAAUGAAGAGGCCCGAUUACCCUCUUUGCAAUAAAAGCGUGCACGAGGCAGAGCUGCUGUAAAAAUUACUCCUGAGCAGCCUGGCGUAUUUGCACCUUGUCAUCUUGUCAGCUCCAUGCAAAUUGGCAGGGUGGCCGAGGACCGGGUGACCGUCCUCCCUCCCGCAAGAGCCAUCUCAUUUCCAACCCCCGCCACCCCAGUCCCCUCCCACUCCACAAAACGCCCCGAUUUUGCCCGUAACCGUGGCAACCAGCGAGGA